AUACUUUUUUUCUAACUAAGCAUGAUGAUUGGAUUUUCAUGCUAUCCUGAGAGAUGUGCAUCCCACUAAACUUGUUACAAUGUCAGCACAUUACCUGUCUGGCA